GGGGUACUCGAGUGGCGAACGGGUGAGUAACACGUGGGUGAUCUGCCCUGCACUUUGGGAUAAGCCUGGGAAACUCGGUCUAAUACCGAAUAGGACCGCGCACUUCCUGGUGUGUGGUGGAAAGCUUUUGCGGUGUGGGAUGGGCCCGCGGCCUAUCAGCUUGUUGGUGGGGUAAUGGCCUACCAAGGCGACGACGGGUAGCCGGCCUGAGAGGGUGACCGGCCACACUGGGACUGAGAUACGGCCCAGACUCCUACGGGAGGCAGCAGUGGGGAAUAUUGCACAAUGGGCGCAAGCCUGAUGCAGCGACGCCGCGUGAGGGAUGACGGCCUUUCGGGUUGUAAACCUCUUUCAAUAGGGACGAAGCGCAAGUGACGGUACCUAUAGAAGAAGGACCGGCCAACUACGUGCCAGCAGCCGCGGUAAUACGUAGGGUCCGAGCGUUGUCCGGAAUUACUGGGCGUAAAGAGCUCGUAGGUGGUUUGUCGCGUUGUUCGUGAAAACUCACAGCUUAACUGUGGGCGUGCGGGCGAUACGGGCAGACUAGAGUACUGCAGGGGAGACUGGAAUUCCUGGUGUAGCGGUGGAAUGCGCAGAUAUCAGGAGGAACACCGGUGGCGAAGGCGGGUCUCUGGGCAGUAACUGACGCUGAGGAGCGAAAGCGUGGGGAGCGAACAGGAUUAGAUACCCUGGUAGUCCACGCCGUAAACGGUGGGUACUAGGUGUGGGUUUCCUUCCUUGGGAUCCGUGCCGUAGCUAACGCAUUAAGUACCCCGCCUGGGGAGUACGGCCGCAAGGCUAAAACUCAAAGAAAUUGACGGGGGCCCGCACAAGCGGCGGAGCAUGUGGAUUAAUUCGAUGCAACGCGAAGAACCUUACCUGGGUUUGACAUGCACAGGACGCCAGUAGAGAUAUUGGUUCCCUUGUGGCCUGUGUGCAGGUGGUGCAUGGCUGUCGUCAGCUCGUGUCGUGAGAUGUUGGGUUAAGUCCCGCAACGAGCGCAACCCUUGUCUCAUGUUGCCAGCACGUAAUGGUGGGGACUCGUGAGAGACUGCCGGGGUCAACUCGGAGGAAGGUGGGGAUGACGUCAAGUCAUCAUGCCCCUUAUGUCCAGGGCUUCACACAUGCUACAAUGGCCGGUACAAAGGGCUGCGAUGCCGUGAGGUGGAGCGAAUCCUUUCAAAGCCGGUCUCAGUUCGGAUCGGGGUCUGCAACUCGACCCCGUGAAGUCGGAGUCGCUAGUAAUCGCAGAUCAGCAACGCUGCGGUGAAUACGUUCCCGGGCCUUGUACACACCGCCCGUCACGUCAUGAAAGUCGGUAACACCCGAAGCC
rnacentral:rRNA from 1 species